UACUUUAAAGAAUGUGGAAUGGCAGCAAAUAUGUAAGUGAGGAGAAAAGCAUCUCUCCAGCAGAGUAAAACAAACCCUGGUCAAAGAAGAGCUAGAGCCAGCCACAGACUCACUUUGAACAAUUGAUGGGCUUGAGUCACUCUGGGCCUCGUAAACAAGCUUUUACUCAUUGCUCGGAAGCCACCAGAGGUAUUCAUGACCACCAAGAAAAGCCACAGAAAGAAAGAAAGGAAAUGCAGAAAAUUUACGAAGUCAGGAAUGCCCACCUGUGUCUGUAA
rnacentral:lncRNA from 1 species